UGCAGUCGAGCGGACUUGAUGGAGUGCUUGCACUCCUGAAGGUUAGCGGCGGAAGGGAGAGUAACACGUAGGCAACCUGCCCUCAAGACUGGGAUAACUACCGGAAACGGUAGCUAAUACCGGAUAAUUUAUUUUGCAGCAUUGUGAAAUAAUGAAAGGCGGAGCAAUCUGUCACUUGAGGAUGGGCCUGCGGCGCAUUAGCUAGUUGGUGGGGUAACGGCCCACCAAGGCGACGAUGCGUAGCCGACCUGAGAGGGUGAACGGCCACACUGGGACUGAGACACGGCCCAGACUCCUACGGGAGGCAGCAGUAGGGAAUCUUCCGCAAUGGGCGAAAGCCUGACGGAGCAACGCCGCGUGAGUGAUGAAGGUUUUCGGAUCGUAAAGCUCUGUUGCCAAGGAAGAACGUCUUCUAGA
rnacentral:rRNA from 1 species